UGAACGCUGACAGAAUGCUUAACACAUGCAAGUCAACUUGAACUUCGGUUUGGGUGGCGGACGGGUGAGUAACGCGUAAAGAACUUGCCUCACAGAUAGGGACAACAUUUGGAAACGAAUGCUAAUACCUGAUAUUAUGAUUUUAGGGCAUCCUAGGAUUAUGAAAGCUAUAUGCGCUGUGAGAGAGCUUUGCGUCCCAUUAGCUAGUUGGAGAGGUAACGGCUCACCAAGGCGAUGAUGGGUAGCCGGCCUGAGAGGGUGAUCGGCCACAAGGGGACUGAGACACGGCCCUUACUCCUACGGGAGGCAGCAGUGGGGAAUAUUGGACAAUGGACCAAGAAUCUGAUCCAGCAAUUCUGUGUGCACGAUGAAGUUUUUCGGAAUGUAAAGUGCUUUCAGUUGGGAAGAAAAAAAUGACGGUACCAACAGAAGAAGUGACGGCUAAAUACGUG
rnacentral:rRNA from 1 species